CGCCCGAGCUGCUGCCGCCGUUCUCGAGCGCCGGAUCUGACGUCGUCUCCUCCGCCGCCUCCUCCGCACCACCGGCUCAACCUACCCAACCCAGGAUGCUACUAGUUAUGUUGAUUGGUGGUGAAGUUCCCUUCUGUUGAUUUUACAUGAUACCUGUCAUAUGAUCUGGCAUCAAACUAUCAAGACUGCCAAAGAAAUCAAAGAUGGAAGAUAAUCUUUUUGGCGGCAUGUGGUCAGAGGGGGAGGUAGUGUUGGGGUGUUUGGCGCGGUGAGGGAAGGUGAGCGGAGGAGGGUGGUGGCACAACGGCGGCGGUCACAAUUCGAUGUUGAAACCAUUUAUCUUGUAUUGUUGUGAUAAUUUGAUGUUGAAACUAUGUACUUGUGAAUUUUCUUGUAUUGUUAUGAUAAUUUGACAUUGAAACUAUGUACUUGUGAUAAUUUGAUGUUGAAACUAUGCUCUGGUGAUUUGUAUGACA